AGUGAACGCUGGCGGUAGGCCUAACACAUGCAAGUCGAACGGCAGCACAGUAAGAGCUUGCUCUUACGGGUGGCGAGUGGCGGACGGGUGAGGAAUACAUCGGAAUCUACUUUUUCGUGGGGGAUAACGUAGGGAAACUUACGCUAAUACCGCAUACGACCUACGGGUGAAAGCAGGGGAUCUUCGGACCUUGCGCGAUUGAAUGAGCCGAUGUCGGAUUAGCUAGUUGGCGGGGUAGAGGCGCACCAAGGCGACGAUCCGUAGCUGGUCUGAGAGGAUGAUCAGCCACACUGGAACUGAGACACGGUCCAGACUCCGACGGGAGGCAGCAGUGGGGAAUAUUGGACAAUGGGCGAAAGCCUGAUCCAGCAAUACCGCGUGGGUGAAGAAGGCCUUCGGGUUGUAAAGCCCUUUUGUUGGGAAAGAAAAGCAGCAGGUUAAUACCCCGCUGUUCUGACGGUACCCAAAGAAUAAGCACCGGCUAACUUCGUG
rnacentral:rRNA from 1 species